UACGUAGGGUCCGAGCGUUGUCCGGAAUUACUGGGCGUAAAGAGCUCGUAGGUGGUUUGUCGCGUUGUUCGUGAAAACUCACAGCUCAACUGUGGGCGUGCGGGCGAUACGGGCAGACUAGAGUACUGCAGGGGAGACUGGAAUUCCUGGUGUAGCGGUGGAAUGCGCAGAUAUCAGGAGGAACACCGGUGGCGAAGGCGGGGUCUCUGGGGCCGAAAAUUGACGCUGAGGAGCGAAAAGCGUGGGGGAGCAAACAGG
rnacentral:rRNA from 1 species